UGUUUGAUAACCGAAUAACGCAUUUGUAAUGGCUGAUGAUUUUUACACUCUGUGUCAAAAUCUAAAUUACUCUGCCACCAAGCCAACCCAAAUCUGUGUUGGUCUGUCAGCUCAAAUGGAGUCACUUGUGUGUGCAGACCAGGACAUCUAUUCUGCAGAGCAGGCUGGAAGCAGUACAUCCAGGAUUUACUGCUGAGAGCUUGGUGGAAGUCAGGUAUGGUUUGUGU